rnacentral:rRNA from 1 species
AAAAAGCUUCAAACUGGGAUUAGAUACCCCACUAUGCUUAGCCCUAAACCUAGAUAUUUAUUCUACAAAAAAUAUCCGCCAGGGUAACUACGAGCGCUAGCUUANAACCCAAAGGACUUGACGGUGUCUCAGACCCACCUANAGGAGCCUGUUCUAGAACCGAUAAUCCACGUUUAACCUCACCACCCCUUGCUUUCCCCGCCUAUAUACCGUCGUCGCAAGCUUACCCUGUGAAGGACAAACAGUAAGCAGGAUGGGUAUACCCCAGAACGUCAGGUCGAGGUGUAGCUUACGAGGUGGGAAGAAAUGGGCUACAUUUUCUACAUCAGAAUAUACGAAUGGCAUUAUGANACUNAAUGCCUGAAGGUGGGAUUUAGUAGUNAAAAUCAAAUANAGAGUCAUUUUGAAUUAGGCUCUGANACGCGCACACACCGCCCCGUCACCCUCUGCAGUCA